GAUGCCCACUCAUAGCAACUGGCAGAUACGCCAUGCAAGAAGUUGCAUUCUAGUUUGACUUUAUCUUGGUAUUACAUACUGUCAAAGAAGAUUCAGAGCUAUGAAAACCGAAGUCUGUGAGUGGUCAACUGCAUGAUAGAAUUGACAUGUUGAGUGUGGCAGCCUAGACAACAGAGAGCAUUGAAAGGAGAGCUGCAUCAUGUAGAACCUGUGCAAGGGUUAAGGCAGUGACAACAAGCCAGCUGCUGGGACAGAAAGGAAAAGCAUGCAUGUCAUUGACACAGCCAUCUGUCAUUGACUGAAACACCUACUGUGGUCUUUUUAGUGGGCACUGCAGAGUGUGCCAGUUUUGAGGAAGAACAAAAAAUUGUCAGAAAUGUUAUAGAUGUCCGUUAAGUAUAAACAGUGUUGCCACAAUGUUUUGAAGCAUGUUGCUAAAGUGAGAUGAAAAAGUAGCUGAAUUUCUACUAAUUCUGCUGCAAGGUCGCUAAAAUUGUCACUAAAACUCUUGAGGAAACUUUAGGUAAUGUAGCCAUCUUGGAACACCAUAAUGUAUGCUAGCAUAGCGCAAACCAUUCAAUGAAAUGUCUCCACGUUUGUCUAGGGUUCAUGCACGUAAAGAAUAAACAGUGAAUUUACCUGCAGCGUGUAGGGGUUUUUUAAUUAGUAAAUUACAGUUGACUCCCAUUAAUUGAACCCUUGCGGCACCUCAAGAUUUUUGUUGGAUUAUCCAAAACAUUGAAUAAAAAAAUGGCGGCAGAAUGAACAAAUUAAAAUCUUUUGCUAUGCUAAAAGCGCCCUACAAUAUCUUUGCCUUUUCCCCUUGAAGCGUAAUCAACCAGCAUUCACUGAAGAGCACCUGCAUGAUUCAACGCUGUCUUGGCAACGGGCUGUCACAUUGCUGACUGUGUCGUCACCGUAAGUUGGAAAAUUUCAUGGCCCCUUUCAGGAAGUUCCGAGCAUGGCGGCGCAAGACGUUCAUACCUAUGGCUGGCACUGCACCCAGGGGUUGGCUGCCACCUGGCUGCUUUG